rnacentral:rRNA from 1 species
AUUGAACGCUGGCGGCAUGCCUUACACAUGCAAGUCGAACGGUAACGGGCCUUCGGGUGCCGACGAGUGGCGAACGGGUGAGUAAUAUAUCGGAACGUGCCCAGUAGUGGGGGAUAGCCCGGCGAAAGCCGGAUUAAUACCGCAUGAGACCUGAGGGUGAAAGCGGGGGAUCGCAAGACCUCGCGCUAUUGGAGCGGCCGAUAUCAGAUUAGCUAGUUGGUGGGGUAAAGGCCUACCAAGGCAACGAUCUGCAGUUGGUCUGAGAGGACGACCAGCCAAACUGGGACUGAGACACGGACCAGACUCCUACGGGAGGCAGCAGUGGGGAAUUAUGGACAAUGGGCGCAAGCCUGAUCCAGCAAUGCCGCGUGCAGGAAGAAGGCCUUCGGGUUGUAAACUGCUUUUGUCAGGGAAGAAAUCUUCUGGGUUAAUACCUCGGGAGGAUGACGGUACCUGAAGAAUAAGCACCGGCUAACUACGUGCCAGCCGCCGCCGUAAUAC